CCUUUCGUGCUGAUAAUCUCGGGACUGAGGGUAAUACACCAUAGGCCUCCGGCACUGGAAUGUCCGGAGACCAAAAGCUCCGGCGCGGUAGGAUGAGUCUGCGGAUGAUUAGCUAGUAGGCGGUGUAAUGGACCACCUAGGCUAUAAUCAUUAAGGGUCUUGAGAGAGAUAGCCCUGAGACGGAAUCUGAGACACUAUUCCGAGCCUUACGGGGUGCAGCAGGCGCGAAAACUUUGCAAUACACGAAAGUGUGACAAGGGGAUUCCAAGUGUGCAUAUACCAUAUGCACUUUUUCGAAGUUUAAAACGCUUCGGGAAUAAGGGGUGGGCAAGACUAGUGCCAGCCGCCGCGGUAAAACUAGCAUCUUGAGUGGCAGCCACAAUUACUGGGCUUAAAGCGUCCGUAGCUCGUUCAGAAAGUCCCCGGUGAAAUCCUACGGCUUAACCGUAGGGCUUGCCAGGGAAACUCCUGGACUUGAAGGCAGGAGAGGUCAGGGGUACGUCUGGGGUAGGGGUGAAAUCCUAUAAUCCUAGACGGACCAACAGUGGCGAAGGCGCCUGACAUGAAUGCGCUUGACAGUGAGGGACGAGAGCCAGGGUCGCGAAACGGAUUAGAUACCCGUGUAGUCCUGGCCGUAAACGAUGUUGACUAGGUGGGGCGUGACCUUAGCGGUCAUGCUAUGCCGAAGGGAAACCGUUAAGUCAACCGCCUGGGGAGUACGACCGCAAGGUUGAAACUUAAAGGAAUUGGCGGGGGAGCAC
rnacentral:rRNA from 1 species